rnacentral:rRNA from 1 species
ACGAACGCUGGCGGCGCGCCUAACACAUGCAAGUCGAACGAGAGAGAGGAAGCUUGCUUCCUCAAUCGAGUGGCGAACGGGUGAGUAACGCGUGAGGAACCUGCCUCAAAGAGGGGGACAACAGUUGGAAACGACUGCUAAUACCGCAUAAGCCCACAGGUCGGCAUCGACCAGAGGGAAAAGGAGCAAUCCGCUUUGAGAUGGCCUCGCGUCCGAUUAGCUAGUUGGUGAGGUAACGGCCCACCAAGGCAACGAUCGGUAGCCGGACUGAGAGGUUGAACGGCCACAUUGGGACUGAGACACGGCCCAGACUCCUACGGGAGGCAGCAGUGGGGAAUAUUGCACAAUGGGGGAAACCCUGAUGCAGCGACGCCGCGUGGAGGAAGAAGGUCUUCGGAUUGUAAACUCCUGUUGUUGAGGAAGAUAAUGACGGUACUCGACAAGGAAGUGACGGCUAACUACGUGCCAGCAGCCGCGGUAAAACGUAGGUCACAAGCGUUGUCCGGAAUUACUGGGUGUAAAGGGAGCGCAGGCGGGAAGACAAGUUGGAAGUGAAAUCUAUGGGCUCAACCCAUAAACUGCUUUCAAAACUGUUUUUCUUGAGUAGUGCAGAGGUAGGCGGAAUUCCCGGUGUAGCGGUGGAAUGCGUAGAUAUCGGGAGGAACACCAGUGGCGAAGGCGGCCUACUGGGCACCAACUGACGCUGAGGCUCGAAAGUGUGGGUAGCAAACAGGAUUAGAUACCCUGGUAGUCCACACCGUAAACGAUGAUUACUAGGUGUUGGAGGAUUGACCCCUUCAGUGCCGCAGUUAACACAAUAAGUAAUCCACCUGGGGAGUACGACCGCAAGGUUGAAACUCAAAGGAAUUGACGGGGGCCCGCACAAGCAGUGGAGUAUGUGGUUUAAUUCGACGCAACGCGAAGAACCUUACCAAGUCUUGACAUCCCUUGACGAACAUAGAAAUAUGUUUUCUCUUCGGAGCAAGGAGACAGGUGGUGCAUGGUUGUCGUCAGCUCGUGUCGUGAGAUGUUGGGUUAAGUCCCGCAACGAGCGCAACCCCUGUGAUUAGUUGCCAGCGAGUAAUGUCGGGAACUCUAAUCAAACUGCCGGUGAUAAAUCGGAGGAAGGUGGGGACGACGUCAAAUCAUCAUGCCCUUUAUGUCUUGGGCUACACACGUACUACAAUGGCUAUAACAAAGAGAAGCGAGACAGUGAUGUGGAGCAAAACUCAAAAAAAUAGUCUCAGUUCGGAUUGAAGGCUGAAAUUCGCCUUCAUGAAGCUGGAAUUGCUAGUAAUGGCAGGUCAGCAUACUGCCGUGAAUACGUUCCCGGGCCUUGUACACACCGCCCGUCACACCAUGGGAGUUGGAUAUGCCCGAAGUCAGUGACCCAACCGUAAGGAGGGAGCUGCCGAAGGUGGAGCCGAUAACUGGGGUG